rnacentral:rRNA from 1 species
GACGAACGCUGGCGGCGUGCCUAAUACAUGCAAGUAGAACGCUGAAGAGAGGAGCUUACUCUUCUUGGAUGAGUUGCGAACGGGUGAGUAACGCGUAGGUAACCUGCCUUGUAGCGGGUGAUAACUAUUGGAAACGAUAGCUAAUACCGCAUAACAAUGGAUGACACAUGUCAUUUAUUUGAAAGGGGCAAUUGCUCCACUACAAGAUGGACCUGCGUUGUAUUAGCUAGUAGGUGAGGUAAUGGCUCACCUAGGCGACGAUACAUAGCCGACCUGAGAGGGUGAUCGGCCACACUGGGACUGAGACACGGCCCAGACUCCUACGGGAGGCAGCAGUAGGGAAUCUUCGGCAAUGGGGGCAACCCUGACCGAGCAACGCCGCGUGAGUGAAGAAGGUUUUCGGAUCGUAAAGCUCUGUUGUAAGUCAAGAACGGGUGUGAGAGUGGAAAGUUCACACUGUGACGGUAGCUUACCAGAAAGGGACGGCUAACUACGUG